CUCAUGUGUCAGCAGUGGUUACAAUCUCAGGUAAAGACUGUACACCAUCUUUCAGAGCUUCAGUGAUCCUCAGUCAGAGCCCCCCUUUUUGUCCCUUCAGGCCUCCAUCAUUGUCUGAGCUGAAUUUCUGACAAACAGGUCGGUGAGCAGAGAGUCCCGCUUCUUCUCUUGUCUUGAUGUCCUCCUAGAAUGGAACCACAAUGUUGGUGUGCGAAUGUGGUUCCAGAGGAGGAUAUCAGAAGAUGUCCAGUGUCCUAUGUUUUGUGGACUCAAACACUUCAACCACCCAUCUAACGCCAUGGUGGCAUCCAAGAAGUUCUCCACAUUCCUACGGCAUUUAGCCAUGCUCAGUUUUGGCUGGAAGUCAUGUUGGCGACGGCACAUGGAUGCUGGCGACAGACCGAGGACAAAUGUGAUUGGCUAAAUGGCAGAGGACGAC